CAGGUAUCUACUCGAACUCGGACUAGGAUGCUUUCUCCGAUUUUGAUCCAUCUUCUCCAAGAUGAAUCAGCAAGCUCUUGGAUCUACCUUCAAUCAGAUCUUCGACAGAACCUCGAUCAACCCUUGAUCGCAAUCUUCUUCUUCCUUCGUGCAGAUCGACCAGCAUCCGACCCUUCGAUCACACCAGAUAGAUCAGCCCAAC
rnacentral:lncRNA from 1 species